AACAUAUCAGAUAGAUGAUUAGUUUCAUGGAGUUUUUGGAGACUUAAAACAAAAAAGGCACACUGAUUACAAAUUUAACCUUAAUUAAUUAUGAAAGGCUGAUGUUUGAUUAUAUCAAAAUCUGUAAAAUAUUGGUGGGAGAUUCAAAGGUGUAAAAGAAAUUCAAAGGUAAAGAUUAGUUUUUUCUACAUUUUGAAGCAUUUUUUGCUUCCUAAUUACUUCCCUUGAACUACUCUCUAACGUUUGGAGGUACAAUGUGUAGUAGUAAACAAUAAAACAUGGUAUGAACAUUUUCUGGCGAAAGACCUCAUCAAAGUUUUACAGUCUGGAAGAAGAAAAGAAGCCCAGACAUCUAAAACAAUGAAGACAGAAGGAUUUACCAAAUAAGAUGAAUAAAGAAAAAAUGAGACCAGUACACCAAAACAGGACCAAAUAGGCCAUGACUAUAGAAGUUUGGAUGCAUUCUGCAAGAAAAUGGACAGCUUUUUUUCUUUACAAGGUUGAAAAUUUCACCUCGAGCAUAUUUGAGUAGGGAUGUCAUAUCAUUUAGGUUUAAAACCAGGAAAGUGAAAGCUGAACUCCAACCCACGUCAACAUACCGGUACCCAUUGUCUUCAAGAUAUCAAUGUUUGAGCUGUCAAAGUUCAAAUGUAACAGGAACAUGUUUAUUCUGAAGAAAGACAUAUGAGGACAUCUUCAAAUCUGAAUGCCCAUAUUACAGUUUGUUUUAGAACUUAUCAAGCUUCAUCCUGUACCUUGCCAGAAAAACUCAACUCAAAACAGAGACAAGAUUUACAGAGCAGCAAAAACAGUAUAACUUGUCACGUAAAUUUAAUGCUGUAUGGUUGAGAAUACCCUAAAGGUGGCAUAUAUAAAAAAAAAGUUUAAAAAAUUCUCUUUUGUUUUUGGAAUUUAUAUUUACAUGAAUAAAGAGAAGGAAAUUGACUAAGCUGAUGUGAUGAGAUGUUGGCAGGAACCUAAAAUGAAACUUAAAUGGGAAAGUGAAAGGAAGAACUUCCUUAAAAUGAUACAUGUGGGGGACAAUAUUUUACAAUUUUCAACUGGCUUUACAGAAUACAGAUGAUCCACUGCAAACCUUAUUAUUAAUUAUAUGUCAAACACUUUGUUUAAAUUUGUAUGUAUAAUUUUCUCAUGUACUAAAAAGUAAAAUUAUGCAUGUAUUAUUAAUCUGUUGUUUAAGGUCCCAAAAAACAGUAUAUAGGGUUCCCUAUGUCCACCUGUCUUUCUGUGUAUCAGUUUAUCAACAGUUCAAAUGGAUGUGCAUUACACUAAUGCAUGCUUUAACAAAAUUCUGACAGGCAGAGGGAAUCUUUUUGCAGACUUCAAAAUUGAUCAAUCCUGUGAGAGUAAUAUUUUUAUUUGAGAAUUAAUUGUAUUUUAGAAUUCAGUGUUUGGAAACUGAUGCAGACGUUUUAGCUCACCUGAGCCGAAGGCUCAAGUGAGCUUUUCUGAUCAAAAUUUGUCCAUUGUCUGUCGUCCUUGUUGUCGUCAUCGGCGUUGUUGUCAUUGUUGUCGUUGUAAACUUUUCACAAUUUCAUCUUCUUCUCCAGAACUACUGGGCCAAUUUCAACCAAACUUGGCACAGAGUAUCCUUGGGUGAAGGGGAUUCAAGUUUGUUCAAAUGAAGGGCCACGCCUUCUUCCAAGGGGAGAUAAUCAUGAAUUCAUGAAAAAUUAAUGAUAUCAUUUAUAAAUCUUCUUCUCAAGAACCACUGUGCUUGAAAAUAUGAAACUUAUGUAGAAGCAUCCUCAGGUAGUGUAGAUUCAAGUUUGUUCAAAUCAUGACCCCCGGGGGUAGGGUGGGGCCACAAUGGGCGAUCAAAGUUUUACAUAGGAAUAUAUGGGAAAAUUCUUUAAAAAUCUUCUUCUCAAGAACAGCAAAGCCAUGAUUGGUCAUAUUUAUAUGGAAGCAUCCUCAGAUAGUGUAAAUUCAAGUUUGUUCAAAUCAUGACCCCCGGGGGUAGGGUGGGGCCACAAUGGGCGAUCAAAGUUUUACAUAGGAAUAUAUAGGAAAAUUCUUUAAAAAUCUUCUUCUCAAGAACAGCAAAGCCAUGAUUGGUCAUAUUUAUAUGGAAGCAUCCUCAGGUAGUGUAGAUUCAAGUUUGUUCAAAUCAUGACCCCCGGGGGUAGGGUGGGGCCAUAAUGGGCGAUCAAAGUUUUACAUAGGAAUAUAUAGGAAAAUUCUUUAAAAAUCUUCUUCUCAAGAACAGCAAAGCCAUGAUUGGUCAUAUUUAUAUGGAAGCAUCCUCAGAUAGUGUAGAUUCAAGUUUGUUCAAAUCAUGACCUCCGGGGGUAGGGUGGGGCCACAAUGGGCGAUCAAAGUUUUACAUAGGAAUAUAUAGGAAAACUCUUUAAAAAUCUUCUUCUCAAGAACAGCAAAGCCAUGAUUGGUCAUAUUUAUAUGGAAGCAUCCUCAGAUAGUGUAGAUUCAAGUUUUUUCAAAUCAUUACCCCCCAGGGGUAGGGUGGGGCCACAAUGGGCGAUCCAAGUUUUAAAUAAGAAUACAUAGGAAAAAUCUGUAAAAAUCUUGUUCACAAGAACAACAAAGCCAUGAUUGGUCAUAUUUACAUGGAAGCAUCCUCAAGUAGUGCAGGUUUAAGUUUGUUCCAAUCAUCACCCCCGAGGGUAAGGUGGAGCCACAAUGGGGGAUUAAAGUUUUACAUAAAAUACAUAGGAAAAAUUUGUAAAAAAUUUUUUCUCAAGAACAGCAAAGUCAUGAUUGUUUUUUUUUAUGGGUGCAUCCUCAGGUA